rnacentral:rRNA from 1 species
GAUGAACGCUGGCGGCGUGCCUAAUACAUGCAAGUCGAGCGAACGGACGAGAAGCUUGCUUCUCUGAUGUUAGCGGCGGACGGGUGAGUAACACGUGGAUAACCUACCUAUAAGACUGGGAUAACUUCGGGAAACCGGAGCUAAUACCGGAUAAUAUUUUGAACCGCAUGGUUCAAAAGUGAAAGACGGUCUUGCUGUCACUUAUAGAUGGAUCCGCGCUGCAUUAGCUAGUUGGUAAGGUAACGGCUUACCAAGGCAACGAUGCAUAGCCGACCUGAGAGGGCGAUAGGCAACACGGGAGCGGAGACAGGGUCCAACCUCCACCGGGAGGCACCGGAAGGGAUUCUUCCGCAAUGGGCGAAAGCCGGACGGAGCCACGCCGCGUGAUGGAUGAAGGUCUUCGGAUCGUAAAACUCUGUUAUGGGGAAAGAACAUAUGUGUAAGAAACUGUGCACAUCUGGACGGUCCCUAAUAAGAAAGCCACGGCUAACUACGUG